UAGCGUUGCUUCAGCGCAGCCAGAACUACAACGCCCGUCAAGCCCCCGCGCCGCGCAGCCUCACAAAUGAACCACCGAGACGGCAGACGGAGGGAGAGGCUUUCUUGGCUCCUGAGAAGGCGAACCCUCUCUCCGUAGCGGCCAUAUUAGCCCGAGUCGUGGCGGAGGGCGGCGGUAUGUCGGUAGUAAAGAGCUUCGCGGUUGGGAAGGCCCCUUGAAAAAGCGGAGAAGAGGCCGUCGGGAGACCGCGCUUCGUAGGUCAAUUUGGGAAGGUGACAGGUAAGAUUUAUACUGAGAGAAACAACAUGGGAUGUGCCACCCAUGUUUUAUACCAGUGUUUCUCCACCUCAGCAAAUUUUAAUGUGUGGACUUCAACUCCCAGGAUUCCCCAGCCAGCCAUGAAUUCUGGGAGUUGAAGUCCAUGUAUCUUAAAAGUUGCUCAGGUGGAGAAACACAGGUUAUCCCAUAAACAUUUUUUUGAUUAGCAAUAGAACUUAAACUUACAUUCCUCUUCAUAGUGCUUUACAGCCCUCUAAACUGCUUAAGAGAGUCAGCAUAUCAUCCCCAACAAUCUGGGUCCUCAUUUUACCGACCUCGGAAGGAUGGAAGGCUGAGUCAACCUUGAACCGGUCAGAAUCGAACUGCUGGCAAUCGGCAGAAUUAAGCUGCAGUAUUGCAUUCUAACCAUUGGAGUGGUGCGGUGGCCUAGAGGUGGAGCUCUCUUCUCACAAUCAGAAGGCUGUGAGUUCUAUGCUAGGUAGAGGCAGAUGUUUCUCUCUCUGGGCACACUGAGAAUAUAUCUGCCGAACAGAACUCCACAUUGGCAAUAGGGAGGGCAUCCGGCCAGUAAAUACUCUGCUAGCUCCAUUCAGUUGCCCAGAUUCCACCCCAUUGCAAGGGAUUACCGUGUUUCCCUGAAAAUAAGACCGUUUUAUAUUUUUUUUAAUCUCAAAAUAGCGCUUGGCCUUAUUUUUGGGGAGGUCUUAUUAUUUUGGGGCUCCUCUUGCCCUCCAUCUAACCAGGGGAAAUGGCAGGGACCGGCUGUGCAUGUGUUUAAAUAUUUUUGGGAAGGGCUUAUUUUUGGGGAGGCUUAUUUUAGCACAUGCGCGCAAAAGCCUGAAUGGGCUUACUAUCAGGGGAUGUCUUAUUUUCAGGGAAACAGAGUAUAGGGUCAUUAAAUGAAGAUGAUGAUGAUUGCACUCUAACCACUGAGCCACCAAAAUUGCUUCCAUUAACCCUUUUUGCCCCAAAAGCAAGCUUGCAAAAGUAACCAGAAUUGCUAGUCACAAACUAUGUAGCACCUGGAUGGUUUUGAAGUAUUGGGGGCAGGAAAGGGGAGAAUAGGAUUUGGAACGUUUUAGAGGGGAAACCUCCGUACAAAUCUUCAGGAAUAAGACACGAGUGUAAACGCACCCUACUAAAUCUUCAGAUUUGCAUUCUCUUUCAGGAGCUAGGAGAGCAACGGAUGUGAAACGCGACUUCUGUAGCACCUUCUCUCCGGGUAGUUUGUUCCAGCUGGGAUUAAUCUUACCGUUCCUGAACGAUGAAUCCGGAAGGGGUGAAAUUUACGCUUCUCAACCUUGGAUCCAAGUAGAUUUGAGACCACGGUGUAAAUUAGCAUGAUCAGAGGGAGCAAAUCGUAUUUUUGGACCUCUCCUUUCUACAGACAGUACGUGGGUGUAUGUUUAUUCCACGUGCUUUUCUAGAUAGUGUCAGGCUUCGUUGGCUCUUGACCAACAAAAAAACCACAAAGAUUUAUUUAGGACUUAGGUGUCUGACUGGAUUAUCAUGUUCCUCUCCGGGCGAAAAGAACAUUGUGUUUCUCUGCUAAUUAAAUCUCGCCUUCGCCAUACCCUU